CAUUCAUUUAUUUGGGGCGGAAAAGAACAUGAUAGGCGGGGGAGCCAGAAAUUCCAUUCUGAGCCGUUCUGUUUCUCUCCCCGGACAUAGUCGAUUCGUUUCCUCCUGCAACAUUGCUUGCAGCUCUUCAGUGGGCGUCUUCGAGCAGCUCUUCAGUGGGCGUCCUCCAGCAGAUCCUCAGCAGGGAGUCUUCCAGCGGCUCCUGGGCGGCGGCUUGUGGUGGUGAUACUCAAUCUCUCUCUCUCUCUGCUCGCUUUUUCCGCCCCGUCUCUCCCUCGGCCCAUGCCCAUUUUCAGCACGCAUUUUCGGCGGUGGCAGAGCCGCAGAGGGGUUUUAUGGUGUUCUUCUUCUUCAUGAACCGACGCAGCAUCUCCUACAAGGGUUGCAGGAAACUUAAGCUCUCAAACCCCGAUGCUGCAUGUUCUCCCUCUUUUUCACUUUUCUUAAUAAUGGAUUUCUAGCAUGCUGUCUUUUUUCUGAAGCUAUUGAUUUUUUUAUCUCGUGGAUUUCAUUUGUCAUGGACGCGAGGCUGGAUAUCCCUAAUUUCAACAAGGGAAAAUACAGAAACGGAGACCAAUCAAUUGAAUGGGGUGAGCGAUCACACCGGAAGACUGCCUCUGUUAAAAUCUUGGAAGGAGAUCAUAAGAGAUGCAAAGAAAGUGGAGGAGACGAAAGAAGAACUCGAAGGACAUCCCUAUGUGAUCAUUUCUGAGGAAGAUCAGCAUGAGAGCGAAAUUUGCAGGAGGUUGAGUUCUCAAUUGGCCAAACGUGUUACCCAGGAGGUUGAAUUUGCGUCGCAAGCCGAAUCCUCUCUCGCGUCUUCUCACCAUGUGUCUGGGCGAAGAACUGCUGGAAGUUCAAUGGUAGCAAGUUGGAUGUUAAAGUUGCUAACUGGAAUAGUGUUAAGGAGGCCUUACGCUGAUGAUGGGAGGAGAAAAUCAAGGUGAAAUGGACGUGGAAGAUAUGGUGCAUUUCUUUGUUUAUCACAACGUGGCAUUUGUAUUAACUUAGAAGCAAGACUAUGCAGGACACAGUCGCAAAUGUCAAUCGACAUGUUAGUGGGGCAAUAGACAUAUUGAAUGUAGUCAGCAGCACCAACUGGUUUAAUCGACAUAAAGAAGAGAUUUGUUACUGGCUGUAUUUCUCUGAAUCUGAACCGGAGAAAAAGUAUUGCACCAUCUAACGGCCAUAAUUCAUUCAAUGCGUGGGCAGAAGUAGAAUUAAUGGAGGGAAUAUGGAGACUUCAUGUUAACGCGAUUGGCACAGUAUAAGGGGAAUGGCUUCCUUGAUUUAAGGCUUUCUUCUCCUCUGGCUGCAAAUCUUCUCAUGUAGGAAGAAGGGGAGGAAGUGGCAGUCUAUGGUUUCAAGCAGCUGCAUUUUCAUCUCUUAAACUUUGAGACAGUGAGAAACUCAAGAGGAGAAUUGGCUGUUGGGGUAGAUUAAGUGUGAGUAGUUGUUUCUUAGGGUCUCCUGUAUUAAAAUUGUCUCUGUUGAGCAUAUUAGAGGUGGAUGCAGGAAUGUCAGUGUAUUGUAUUCAAAUUGCAUGAAGUUCAUUGGAAUGUUCGCAUACUUUGAAUUUAAUUGGUAGUUGAAAAACUUUAUAUA